rnacentral:rRNA from 1 species
ACCGUACUCCUACGGGAGGCAGCAGUGGGGUAUUUUGGACAAUGGGGGCAACCCUGAUCCAGCAAUGCCGCGUGAGUGAAGAAGGCCUUCGGGUUGUAAAGCUCUUUUGUCAGGGAAGAAACGGUAGUAGCUAAUAUCUAUUACUAAUGACGGUACCUGAAGAAUAAGCACCGGCUAACAACGGGCCAGCAGCCGCGGUAAUACGUAGGGUGCAAGCGUUAAUCGGAAUUACUGGGCGUAAAGCGUGCGCAGGCGGUUGUGUAAGUCGGAUGUGAAAUCCCCGGGCUCAACCUGGGAAUUGCAUUUGGGACUGCACGGCUAGAGUGUGGCAGAGGGGGGUAGAAUUCCUCGUGUAGCAGUGAAAUGCGUAGAUAUGAGGAGGAAUACCGAUGGCGAAGGCAGCCCCCUGGGAUAACACUGACGCUCAUGCACGAAAGCGUGGGGAGCAAACAGGAUUAGAAACCCUAGUAGUCCUUGAC